rnacentral:rRNA from 1 species
AGUGAAUAGAUACCCCGGUAGUCCAGGGUGUAAACGCUGCGGGCUUGGUGUUGGGGGUCCUUAGUGGGCGCCCAGUGCCGGAGAGAAAGUUGUUAAGCCUGCUGCUUGGGGAGUAUGUCCGCAAGGAUGAAACUUAAAGGAAUUGGCGGGGGAGCACCGCAACGGGAGGAGCGUGCGGUUCAAUUGGAUUCAACGCCGAAAAACUCACCGGGAGCGACGGAUAUAUGAAGGUCAAGCUGAUGACUUUACCUGAUUUUCCGAGAGGUGGUGCAUGGCCGUCGUCAGUUCGUACCGUAAAGGCGUUCUCUUAAGUGAGAUAACGAACGAGACCCUCACCAUUAAUUGCUAGUCUCUUCUCCGGAGGAGGCGCACAUUAAUGGGACCGCUGGCGCUAAGUCAGAGGAAGGAGAGGUCAACGGUAGGUCCGUAUG